rnacentral:lncRNA from 1 species
UGACUAUUUUAAAAGCAGAGAGCCUUGUGGUUUGUCUCGAACCUGGAGGUGUUGCGUUAUUGGGGAGAGAACAACAGAAUAUCGGAUUAAUUUAUUUAAUUUUUAUUUAUUUUUAUUUUUUUCUGAGUCUGGAGUCCUGCCCUGACAUCCCGUAGUCUCUCCGCUUCAUGUGGCUUUUCCCAUCUGGCAGAAACCGCACACCACCCCCUUCCUCCCUGCCCAGCCCCACCUCUCUGGUAUGAAGAAAUGACUCGUUAAGUCUGGAAUCCACGUGCAUACCCAUUUUUUAGCAAAAACUUGCCAACUACUGUUUCUAUUUAUUUACUUAUUUAUUUAUUAAGACAGUGGAUAUGUUUCUGUCAUUUCCUUGGUUUUUUUUUUGUUUUUGUUUUUGUUUUUUUUCAUUUUGGUGUGAGUCGGCAGUCUAGCCUCUUCUAGGCCCAGGACUGUGUCUGUCUGUCUGCUUGGGGCUCUGUUAGUAUUUAUGCGGUGGUGCUUUGGUGAUUCUCAUGCUAGGAUUUUAUGAUUAUUAUUCCUAAUUGUGGCUCCCAGUUAGGAGAGCCGCGUUUGGCUUCUAGGCGUAAUGAUGCUCUUUUGCAAGUAUCCUCAGGACUGUUGCUCCUCAGCCUUGGGGCAUUUCUUCCUCUUGAAAUAAUAACAAUUAGGGUUUAUGGAGGGCUCCUUCUGACCGUGCUCUGGGCAAGUGCAGAGUUUUGUUUUUGUUUUUAUCUCAUGUAAUCCAUCCAACCUAGGGAGGUUGCUGUCAUCGUCAUUUUACAGGGAGGGCACUGAAAGGUCAGAGUCACAGCCAAUACGAGAUGUUGUCAAGAACUGUACCUCAGUCUGCUAAGUUAGUUUGUUAGGGCAGUGAAUCAAUGGUAAAAGGCAAGGCUGGACGUUAUGAAAGCCAAGGAAGUGGGUGAUUGCUCAGCUGAGAGCCUGGGACUCUUGCUGAGGUUCAGAGGAAGUGGUUAGGCUUCCUCCUAGGCCUGGAUUAGAGAGGUAAACAUUGAACCUGGGUGGGAACUUUGGUAGUAUCUCUGAACAUGAGGAUUUUGCUAUUCUCAGCUCUUUCAGUCAUUGCUGAGCACGAAAAUAAGCCAACCUGGUUCUUGUCUUUAAGAAAUUUAAUACAUUCUAAAAACUAGUAUUUUUAAUUUUUCUUUUAGUUUUGGUUUUUCAAGACUGGGUCUCUUUGUGUGGCUUUUAUUGUCCUGGAAUUUACUCUGUACACCAGGCUGGCCUUGAACUCACAGAAACCAGUUUGCCUCUGCCUCCUAAGUACUGGGAUUGAAGACGGGUGUCAUCACUGCCUGGCUUAUAAAGGAAACUUUGACUU